UCCGGCGACCAUACCGUCGGGGCCACACCCGUUCCCAUUCCGAACACGGCCGUUAAGCCCGACGGGCCCAUGAUAGUGCUCAGGCGCGAAAGUCGGUCAUCGCCGGAA
rfam:Planctomyces sp. SH-PL62, complete genome.